AAAAAGGGUCGGAUGGCUAUUUAUGCCACGCUCAGCCCGAGUUAAUAAGGGGUGAGUGCUGUAUGGCAGAAUCAAGACAUAUGGCCGACAUUAUUUCUGGAACUACCCAUAGGGUUGGCUCGCUCGGCCGACCCUCCA
rnacentral:snRNA from 1 species